GAUGAACGCUGGCGGCGUGCCUAAUACAUGCAAGUCGAGCGAACAGACGAGGAGCUUGCUCCUCUGACGUUAGCGGCGGACGGGUGAGUAACACGUGGAUAACCUACCUAUAAGACUGGGAUAACUUCGGGAAACCGGAGCUAAUACCGGAUAAUAUAUUGAACCGCAUGGUUCAAUAGUGAAAGACGGUUUUGCUGUCACUUAUAGAUGGAUCCGCGCCGCAUUAGCUAGUUGGUAAGGUAACGGCUUACCAAGGCGACGAUGCGUAGCCGACCUGAGAGGGUCAGCGGCAACACUAGAAGUGGGACAGGGCCCAGACUCCUAGGGGGGGGAGCGGGGGGGUAUCUUCCGCAAAGGGGGAAGCUUUGCGGGAGCAGCGCGGAGGGGGAAUUAAGGGUCUUCGAGUCGUAAACCUUUUUUUUUGGGGAAAAAAAAUUGUGGAAGUAACUAUGCACGUCUGAAGGAUCCUUAAUCAGAAGCCCACGCUAACCUCCGUG
rnacentral:rRNA from 1 species